UACGGGGGGGGCAAGCGUUGUUCGGAAUUACUGGGCGUAAAGGGCUCGUAGGCGGCCAACUAAGUCGGACGUGAAAUCCCCAGGCUCAACCUGGGAACUGCGUCUGAUACUGGAUGGCUUGAAUUCGGGAGAGGGAUGCAGAAUUCCAGGUGUAGCGGUGAAAUGCGUAGAUAUCUGGAGGAACACCGGUGGCGAAGGCGGCAUCCUGGACCGGCAUUGACGCUGAGGAGCGAAAGCCAGGGGAGCAAACGGG
rnacentral:rRNA from 1 species